UGGCGGCCAUGUGGUCGCACUCACGUGGAGUCCGGAAAGGAAGUUCAGUCCCAGUCGUGUCCUCACCGGCAGGUCUCCUCGCGCCUGAGCAGGGUUACCGUGGCCUCUGGGGUCGAAAUGUGAUGUGUGGCCUGCUGUUGGAGGUCAGAGGUCAAACCCAGCCCAUUGUGAAUGGACAGCAUUGUUGCAGAAACCAUGGAGACUGAAACCACUGGAUAUUCUUACCCCCAAAGCUUGAUAUUGUAUUUUCUCCCUUAGAUAACAUAAAAGGGGACUUGGGUCCAGUGGCGAAGAAGCAAGAGGGGUAGUCCAACAGUCCACAGCUUUAUCAGUGGGUGUGGAUUGAUGAGAACAGCCAUGUCCAUUCUUGUGAUUGAUCUUUCUGACUGGACUCCCCCCCCCUGCAGCCACCAUGUGUUGACCUUCUCCCUACUAGGAUCUAUGGUGCAGAUAUGGUGCCUUUUCCCAAUGCUGCUGUAACAGCACAUGUGGUGCUAAUGAAAACAGCACAAAGGGAAAAUGGAGGUUGUGUGUUCAAGACAAUAUCUUGGCUUGCCAAGUGACUCCUGUCUUGUGUAAAUAGCUCCUUCUGUGCUAAAAAUACACAAUCUAGUCCUUGCUUGGGGCACAAUAUUAUACCCAUAAAUUAAGUAUCAAUUCUGACUUUUUAUAUCUGUACUUUUGAUAGCACACUCUUAUCUCUUGAUAGAAGUUGAGAAACAAACUAUUGUAUAGCAAUCUUGCUGUCUGAUACCAUCUAAUAUAAUCCAUUUAAAUAAAAAUGUCUUCCUCGA